rnacentral:rRNA from 1 species
UACGGGGGGGGCAAGCGUUGUUCGGAAUUACUGGGCGUAAAGGGCCAGUAGGCGGCCAACUAAGUCCGACGUGAAAUCCCUAGGCUUAACCUAGGAACUGCGUCGGAUACUGGAUGGCUUGAAUCCGGGAGAGGGAUGUGGAAUUCCAGGUGUAGCGGUGAAAUGCGUAGAUAUCUGGAGGAACACCGGUGGCGAAGGCGACAUCCUGGACCGGUAUUGACGCUGAGGCGCGAAAGCCAGGGGAGCAAACGGG